GUGGGGCAUGGUGGCGCAUGCCUGUAAUCCCAGCUACUUGGGAGGCUGAGGCAGGAGAAUCACUUGAACCCAGGAGGCAGAGGUUGCAGUGAGCUGAGAUUGCGCCACUGCACUCCAGCCUGGGCAACAGAGUGAGACUCUGUCUCAA
ensembl:misc_RNA Metazoa_SRP Metazoan signal recognition particle RNA